CUACCUUGCUGACGAAUAGAAGGUGUUCGUCAGCAAUAGGAUAGUCUUUUUAUAAAGAAGUUUCAUGGAGAAAAAACUAAUGCCUCAAAGAUUGAACUUGAUGAAGUUCGAUCAGUAGAAAAACUGACACAAUCUAGUAAACCCAUAGAGUUGGACUUGAUUAGAUCAAAUUUGAAACCUGUUGUAGAAACAUCUUUAAGG
rnacentral:lncRNA from 1 species